AGCUGAAACCAGGGGACGAGGUGGCUAACCGUAGCACGCUAGCUCGUUCUGAAUGGCAAACCACAGCUACACACCAGUUCACCAUAAUCUCCAAAAGAACUACUUCCGUGUC